UAGACAUCAGCCGUCACUAGCGCCAUCACUAGCGCCACCACUAGCGACAUCAACCUUCUCUCUAUCACUUGUGAACAAGUCGUGUGGUAUUACCCAGAGGCACAACAGCAGAUUAUAUAAGGGAUACAACAUCUUUUGAACGAAACAUCUUUGUAACAGCAAGAUUGUGACACAUCUUCUGAAUGAAAAAUCUUAGUGACAACAUAAGUGAUACAUAUUUUGAAUGAAACAUUUUCUGACAAGAGUAUUACACGUCUUUUGGAUGAAGCAUUUUUGUGACAAUAGGAUCGUGACACGUCUUUUGAAUGAAACGUCUUUGUGACAAUAUAAGUGACACAUCUUUUGAAUGAAACGUCUUUGUGACAAUAGGAUUGUGACACAUCUUUUGGAUGAAACGUCUUUGUGACAAUAGGAUUGUGACACAUCUUUUGAAUGAAACGUCUUUGUGACAAUAGGAUUGUGACACAUCUUUUGGAUGAAACGUCUUUGUGGCAAUAGGAUUGUGACACAUCUUUUGGAUGAAACAUCUUUCUGACUACAUAAGUGACACAUCUUUUGAAUGAAAUAUUUUUGUGAUAGAAGAUUGUGACAAAACUUUUAAAUGGAGUAUCUUUGUGACGACAAAAGCGGCUCAACUUUUAAAACUGUGACCCUCAGGAUUUAGACUCUACAUUGGCCCAACUAUACAAGAGAGCCGCCCAGAAUCGAGUGCUUUGAAAAGUCACGCACGGAAGCUCUGCUGUAAACGACGACCACGACAUCAAAUCCAUCAAGUCGUCAGCCAGGUGUUCACGUGACCCACUUCACGUCUGCCGCCGGGGAUCUUCCUACAGUCUACGCCGUGGCCAUUUACACUGUCAUGGUAACGUAGCAACCGUCCUUGGGUGAAACACAAAGCUUGACGCGUUGCCAAGGUUACAGUAACAGUGCGGAAUGUGAUGGAGUAGCGGGUACUUCGCGGAGCUGGAGAUAAAACUGGCAAUGUUUUGAUUCAAGUUGUGUUACCUGGCAAGUAUGCUUUUUAUUACC